UAUUUUAGUGCAUGGUUUUCAAUAUUGCGAGUUAGGUCGAGUGAGUCUUCAGUAAGGAAAGAAACGUUCAAAGGUUACAAAGAGGAAAAAUACACUUCGAGCACGUAGGAACGCUUGAGUAAGAGAUAAGAAAUCAUUUAAAAUGGAGAGAUUGGAAAUCAUGAUACCUAUUUUCGAUGGAUAUUUACGGUAUGUGGAAGCAAAGAAUAACGAUGUUUCUCAAGUAUAGAGAAUGCGAGAUUGUCACAACUAGGGUGAAGACAGAAACAGACAAUG
rnacentral:misc_RNA from 1 species